UGCCAUUUGUAACAAGUAUUAAUUCUGUUUGCUUUGGGUCUUAAACCCAUUUUUUCAUUACAAUUAAAGCAAUUGCUUAAUUCUCACCCAGUUAUUAUCACAUCACACGGAAAUGCUUUUCCAACUUUUACAUUGUGAAUCGUGAUGAUAUAUUACAAUCUUCUACUAUAUAAGAAAAAGAACAUACAUAUGAAAUUUCCAAUUUGCCC
rnacentral:lncRNA from 1 species